AGCCCUUCAGAGUUUGUCAUCCCUCUAGAUAAGUAUGUCAAAGCAGUAUAUCACACCCGUGUUUCCAUCGACAUGCGUUUUAGAAUGCUAUUUGAAACUGAGGAGUCUAGUGUGCGCAGAUAUAUGGGCAAUGUCACAGGGAUAAGUGAUCUAGAUCCUGUCCGAUGGCCAAAUUCAUAUUGGCGCUCUGUGAAGGUUGGCUGGGAUGAGUCAACUUCUGGAGAGAG